rnacentral:rRNA from 1 species
GAUGAACGCUGGCGGCGUGCCUAAUACAUGCAAGUCGAGCGAACAGACGAGGAGCUUGCUCCUCUGACGUUAGCGGCGGACGGGUGAGUAACACGUGGAUAACCUACCUAUAAGACUGGGAUAACUUCGGGAAACCGGAGCUAAUCCCGGAUAAUAUAUUGAACCGCAUGGUUCAAUAGUGAAAGACGGUUUUGCUGUCACUUAUAGAUGGAUCCGCGCCUCAUUAGCUAGUUGGUAAGGUAACGGCUUACCAAGGCAACGAUUCGUAGCCGACCUGAGAGGGGGAUCGGCAAAACUGGAACGGAGAAACGGUCCAGACUCCUACGGGAGGCAGCAGUAGGGAAUCUUCCGCAAUGGGCGAAAGCCUGACGGAGAAACGCCGCGUGAGUGAUGAAGGUCUUCGGAUCGUAAAACUCUGUUAUUAGGGAAGAACAAAUGUGUAAGUAACUAUGCACGUCUUGACGGUACCUAAUCAGAAAGCCACGGCUAACUACGUG